GAUGAACGCUAGCUACAGGCUUAACACGUGCAAGUCGAGGGGCAGCAUUUCAGUUUGCUUGCAAACUGGAGAUGGCGACCGGCGCACGGGUGAGUAACACGUAUCCAACCUGCCGAUAACUCGGGGAUAGCCUUUCGAAAGAAAGAUUAAUACCCGAUGGUAUAAUCGGACCGCAUGGUCUUGUUAUUAAAGAAUUUCGGUUAUCGAUGGGGAUGCGUUCCAUUAGGCAGUUGGUGAGGUAACGGCUCACCAAACCUUCGAUGGAUAGGGGUUCUGAGAGGAAGGUCCCCCACAUUGGAACUGAGACACGGUCCAAACUCCUACGGGAGGCAGCAGUGAGGAAUAUUGGUCAAUGGGCGCAGGCCUGAACCAGCCAAGUAGCGUGAAGGAUGACUGCCCUAUGGGUUGUAAACUUCUUUUAUAUGGGAAUAAAGUUUUCCACGUGUGGAAUUUUGUAUGUACCAUAUGAAUAAGGAUCGGCUAACUCCGUGCCAGCAGCCGCGGUAAUACGGAGGAUCCGAGCGUUAUCCGGAUUUAUUGGGUUUAAAGGGAGCGUAGGUGGACAGUUAAGUCAGUUGUGAAAGUUUGCGGCUCAACCGUAAAAUUGCAGUUGAUACUGGCUGUCUUGAGUACAGUAGAGGUGGGCGGAAUUCGUGUUGUAGCGGUGAAAUGCUUAGAUAUCACGAAGAACUCCGAUUGCGAAGGCAGCUCACUGGACUGCAACUGACACUGAUGCUCGAAAGUGUGGGUAUCAAACAGGAUUAGAUGCCCUGGUAGUCCACACAGUAAACGAUGAAUACUCGCUGUUUGCGAUAUACAGUAAGCGGCCAAGCGAAAGCAUUAAGUAUUCCACCUGGGGAGUACGCCGGCAACGGUGAAACUCAAAGGAAUUGACGGGGGCCCGCACAAGCGGAGGAACAUGUGGUUUAAUUCGAUGAUACGCGAGGAACCUUACCCGGGCUUAAAUUGCAACAGAAUAUAUUGGAAACAGUAUAGCCGUAAGGCUGUUGUGAAGGUGCUGCAUGGUUGUCGUCAGCUCGUGCCGUGAGGUGUCGGCUUAAGUGCCAUAACGAGCGCAACCCUUAUCUUUAGUUACUAACAGGUUAUGCUGAGGACUCUAGAGAGACUGCCGUCGUAAGAUGUGAGGAAGGUGGGGAUGACGUCAAAUCAGCACGGCCCUUACGUCCGGGGCUACACACGUGUUACAAUGGGGGGUACAGAAGGCCGCUACCUGGUGACAGGAUGCUAAUCCCAAAAACCUCUCUCAGUUCGGAUCGAAGUCUGCAACCCGACUUCGUGAAGCUGGAUUCGCUAGUAAUCGCGCAUCAGCCAUGGCGCGGUGAAUACGUUCCCGGGCCU
rnacentral:rRNA from 1 species